rnacentral:lncRNA from 1 species
CACCGCAGAUGUUGGAGAGCUCGUUCUCGAUCCGAGCCCUGUACUCCUUGAUAGUGGCGACGUGGUCGCUGUUGCCGCGGCUCUCCUCCUUCUGCUCGAUGGAGGAGACGAUGCGCCACGAGGCACGGCGGGCGCCGAUCACGUUCUUGUAGGCGACGGAGAGGAGGUUGCGCUCUUCGACGGUGGGCUCUUCGCCUUCAGGGAGGGAGGAGACGACCUUCUCCAUGAACUCAACCAUCUCCUCGUAUCGCUCGGCUUGCUCGGCGAGCUUGGCGACGUACACGAUCUCUU